UGGGGAAUAUUGCACAAUGGGCGCAAGCCUGAUGCAGCCAUGCCGCGUGUGUGAAGAAGGCCUUCGGGUUGUAAAGCACUUUCAGCGAGGAGGAAGGUGGUGAGCUUAAUACGCUCAUCAAUUGACGUUACUCGCAGAAGAAGCACCGGCUAACUCCGUGCCAGCAGCCGCGGUAAUACGGAGGGUGCAAGCGUUAAUCGGAAUUACUGGGCGUAAAGCGCACGCAGGCGGUUUGUUAAGCCAGAUGUGAAAUCCCCGGGCUCAACCUGGGAACUGCAUUUGAAACUGGCAAGCUAGAGUCUCGUAGAGGGGGGUAGAAUUCCAGGUGUAGCGGUGAAAUGCGUAGAGAUCUGGAGGAAUACCGGUGGCGAAGGCGGCCCCCUGGACGAAGACUGACGCUCAGGUGCGAAAGCGUGGGGCAGCAAACAGGAUUAGAUACCCUGGUAGUCCACGCUGUAAAACGAUGUCGAUUUGGAGGUUGUGCCCUUGAGGCGUGGCUUCCGGAGCUAACGCGUUAAAUCGACCGCCU
rnacentral:rRNA from 1 species